CAGGGAGUGCAGAAUUAUUAGGCAAGUUGUAUUUUUGAGGAUUAAUUUUAUUAUCGAACAACAACCAUGUUCUCAAUGAACCCAAAAAACUCAUUAAUAUCAAAGCUGAAUAUUUUUGGAAGUAGUUUUUAGUUUGUUUUUAGUUGUAGCUAUGUUAGGGGGAUAUCUGUGUGUGCAGGUGACUAUUACUGUGCAUAAUUAUUAGGCAACUUAACAAAAAAC